rnacentral:rRNA from 1 species
UGCAAGUCGAACGAGUUCUCGUUGAUGAUCGGUGCUUGCACCGAGAUUCAACAUGGAACGAGUGGCGGACGGGUGAGUAACACGUGGGUAACCUGCCCUUAAGUGGGGGAUAACAUUUGGAAACAGAUGCUAAUACCGCAUAGAUCCAAGAACCGCAUGGUUCUUGGCUGAAAGAUGGCGUAAGCUAUCGCUUUUGGAUGGACCCGCGGCGUAUUAGCUAGUUGGUGAGGUAAUGGCUCACCAAGGCGAUGAUACGUAGCCGAACUGAGAGGUUGAUCGGCCACAUUGGGACUGAGACACGGCCCAAACUCCUACGGGAGGCAGCAGUAGGGAAUCUUCCACAAUGGACGCAAGUCUGAUGGAGCAACGCCGCGUGAGUGAAGAAGGCUUUCGGGUCGUAAAACUCUGUUGUUGGAGAAGAAUGGUCGGCAGAGUAACUGUUGUCGGCGUGACGGUAUCCAACCAGAAAGCCACGGCUAACUACGUGCCAGCAGCCGCGGUAAUACGUAGGUGGCAAGCGUUAUCCGGAUUUAUUGGGCGUAAAGCGAGCGCAGGCGGUUUUUUAAGUCUGAUGUGAAAGCCCUCGGCUUAACCGAGGAAGCGCAUCGGAAACUGGGAAACUUGAGUGCAGAAGAGGACAGUGGAACUCCAUGUGUAGCGGUGAAAUGCGUAGAUAUAUGGAAGAACACCAGUGGCGAAGGCGGCUGUCUGGUCUGUAACUGACGCUGAGGCUCGAAAGCAUGGGUAGCGAACAGGAUUAGAUA